CAAAAACAAAAACAAAACAAUAGAGCAUUAGUAACUCCAGCAGAAAUAGCGUAAAUAUUGUAAAUAGGGAUUCACAAUAGAAACAGAUGCAAGGAAAGAACAUAAUUAACAUAAAUCAUUGAACAUGAGCAAUAGAGUAAAUAAGAAGGUUGAACCACAAAGUAAACACAUAGAGUUAAGGCAGAAAACUAAAUAAAAUAUAUACCCGUUUCGAGGGAAAACAAGUAAAAUAGUAGUCUUGAAAAGCCAAUUUGUAAGCAAACGGUUCCAAAAAGAUCUCAGAAAAGCAGAGUGUUGAAAGAGUAUUGAACUCAAAGCAAUAACGUGAAUGUGUGAUUUGGAAGUAAGAAGUUCGAGGUAUUGAACUUGAAGUGUCGAUUUAAAAGAAUUGAAUUGGAAGUGUGUCAAAAGUGUAGAAAGGAAGUCCCUUUUAUAGUGUAGAGAAACAAGUAAGAAAGGCAAGGAAAUGUCAUUGAAAUCAGUCUCCCUUUGGUUAAGGGAUUCUGAUUCCAACGGGUAAAAAUAAGUUAAGGAAAGAAAUUUCUAAUUAAAACCUUUCAAACCUCGGGUUUCUAAUAGAGACAGACAAAGAGGUGGAAAAAUAAGGUCAUUGAAAAAGGCUCAGAAGUCCUAUUCAAAGACUUAUGAGAGACAAGCAUACAUAAUAAAAGAACACUAACCCAAGGUCAUGAGACCAUGUUCGAGAAAGCUCAGAACUAAAAUAAGUUUCAAAAGAAAGAGAUGAUACGAUAGUAGAGAAAAAUUUUCUUAGCAGGAACACGAACAGAGUUCAGUAAAGUGAACAAAAUCAAAGAUCUCAACCAUAAACACAUAUAACAAAGAGUAAGAAAAACAAUACAAAGUGAUAUACGAGCAUUAUGGUAAUAGCAAAAGAUAGAAGAGUCUUGCAUAAUAGAAAAGAAACAAGAGAGAAAACUCAUGCGUAAUAAGAAGCAAACAUACGAGCACAAAAUACACAUAAAGAAAGAACAAGAAGAAUCAAAAAAUAUUUGAAGAAAUCCUUUUUCGGUAACCCUAAAAUUUAAAUUGAAUGAUUUUAAAGAUGAUAUUUUGGGAAAGCCUUUAAAGACAUGGCACAGAUCUAAGAAAAAUAAGCAAAUACAGAACCUCAGAUAUCUUAGAGUUGUAAAGAAAACCCUAGAAUGAGAAAGGCCUUGAGGAAAGUCGGAUGCUGAGUCGAAAAGACUGAUAUUGCGUGACACGCCAGGAUAAUGGCCGGAGAGGCCAUAUAUCUAUAGAUCUGAGAAGGAUCUGAAGAGAAUCAUCAAAGUUGGGCUUCAAAUCAUCGAACAGCUUAGGUCUAAUGGUGAGAUAGGGUGAGCAAUGUCAUCCAUGGCCUGGAAUGCCAUGGAUUCCAGUGGAAUAGUGGUAGAAUGAGGUGGGAGACGACUAGGGUAUUAGAGAGGCUAGAGAUACUUUCAUAGAUGAAGAGGGUUUCAAAGGCGGC
rnacentral:lncRNA from 1 species